GGGCUGUGACGAAGAAAUGUCAUGCACCACUCUGAUAUCGAUUAUAUCGAUCAGUGUUGAUAAAUUGACUCAAACCCAUAUAAUAUCUGAGCCC